rnacentral:lncRNA from 1 species
UUAAGGCAUAUAGAUGAGACAUGACUGAUUUGAAGAGUAGGAAAACGGCAAGGAGGUGUGGACAAACAUCCCAACAAAUCUGUAAGAAAGAUUCCAUGUAUUAACACAUUUAUAUCAAAAGUUUUUAUCAAUAAUUAUUUAUUCAUAUCAAUUUACGCAAAGGUUACAUUAUUCUAUUAAAAUAUUAAAACAUGAAUAUGAUCUAUUGAUAUUGGUGUGAUUUAACUAUUUUAAUA